rnacentral:rRNA from 1 species
AAUCAACGCUGGCGGCGUGCCUCAGACAUGCAAGUCGAACGAUUAAGACUCUCUUCGGAGAGUGUAUAAAGUGGCGCACGGGUGAGUAACACGUAGGUAAUGUACCGAAGGGUGGGGAAUAACUUAGGGAAACUUAAGCUAAUACCGCAUAAUGCAGCGGCUCGACAUCGAGACAGUUGUUAAAGGAGCAAUCCGCCUUUUGAGCAGCCUGCGGCAGAUUAGCUAGUUGGUAAGGUAAUGGCUUACCAAGGCUACGAUCUGUAACCGACCUGAGAGGGUGGUCGGUCACACUGACACUGAAUAACGGGUCAGACUCCUACGGAGGCAGCAGUCGGAAUUUUGGGCAAUGGGCGAAAGCCUGACCCAGCAACGCCGCGUGAAGGAUGAAGUAUUUCGGUAUGUAAACUUCGUAAGAAUAGGAAGAAUAAAUGAACGGUACCCAAAGAAUAAGCACCGGCUAACUCUAGUGCCAGCAGCCGCGGUAAU